rnacentral:rRNA from 1 species
GAUGAACGCUGGCGGCGUGCCUAAUAGAUGCAAGUCGAGCGAAUGGAUUAAGAGCUUGCUCUUAUGAAGUUAGCGGCGGACGAGUGAGUAACACGUGGGUAACCUGCCCAUAAGACUGGGAUAACUCCGGGAAACCGGGGCUAAUACCGGAUAACAUUUUGAACCGCAUGGUUCGAAAUUGAAAGGCGGCUUCGGCUGUCACUUAUGGAUGGACCCGCGUCGCAUUAGCUAGUUGGUGAGGUAACGGCUCACCAAGGCAACGAUGCGUAGCCGACCUGAGAGGGUGAUCGGCCACACUGGGACUGAGACACGGCCCAGACUCCUACGGGAGGCAGCAGUAGGGAAUCUUCCGCAAUGGACGAAAGUCUGACGGAGCAACGCCGCGUGAGUGAUGAAGGCUUUCGGGUCGUAAAACUCUGUUGUUAGGGAAGAACAAGUGCUAGUUGAAUAGGCUGGCACCUUGACGGUACCUAACCAGAAAGCCACGGCUAACUACGUGCCAGCCGCCGCAGUAA